AACAUCGCCUAACCGUUGUCAUGUAAUAUUUCCCAGAGAAAAUGAUAUUACAUGUUUCGGGUAGGAGCUGUUCA
rfam:Caenorhabditis elegans chromosome IV